GACGCUUUUUCGAUUCUAGGGUCAGAGUUUACACUGCAUGGGUACACUUCUUGUCAUUUUUCACAGAAAAAUAAAGAAUACAUAUAUAUGUGAGAUAUUUUUUAUUUUGUAUGUUUAUAAAUACAUGUACUUCACGACAGACAACACUGGGCAGGCCAGCUGUUUGCCACAUAGUGAUGAUACAAGGAAAUUGUAAACUCUGCUAUAACAGUAGAACAAACCCAAAACUUGACGGAUUAACAACCAACACUGCCGCAGUCACACUGCAGUUUGUUUGGUCUCCCAGAAAACUGCAAAUACCGAGCAGCUGCUGGAUUAUUUUUGUUAACAAAUGCAUCAAAACACAGAGUUAACAAAUAUUAAUGUUAUUGUGUUGCAACCCACACCACAAUAUCCCCAAUUAUGAUAUUUCAUUAGCUUAUGCAUCUGCCUGCUUUGUGUAUGUGUUUUGUGCUCAGUACUUGAUGCAAAAGUUUCUUCGUAAGUUACAUGUACACGUAGGAUUUUGUGUCUUCUUACACAUAGGUUUCUGAUUUAAUUGGGUGGACUGUGUCUUUUUUGUCUUAUUUUAACCCCUAAAAUGUUAUCCAUUUAAACAGAGGGGCUUCUGGCCCAGAUUUCCUUUUGAUCACUCUUUAUGUUAAGACUGGAAAAACUUUUGCCUUUUUUCUCAUUCUUCUUUGUGAAUUCCUGUAUGUUACUGUUCAGUGAACUUUCUAAUGGACUUCGGAGAAAGCUUUCCAUUUUAUUUGCGAGGACUUCAGAAAAUACACCUGUUGAAUGCUUCCUUCCUGUACCUUCAGCUUUGUUCUGAAUACUCUUACUCUCCCCACUAGAGUUUCUAAAUGCAGGUAAUUAUCUCUCCUUAUGAAUUAAAAAUAUGCGAUUGAAAUUCAUGUUAGGCGACAUUAAAUGUUAGAGCCAAAAUGUGCAGGCUACCAGGCUCUUGUUCAGUUCUAACAUUUUUAGGAACAUUUAGGCUGAAAAGCAGGAUUGAGCUUGAAAUAAACUGCUUCCAAGAGCAGGUUUCUGAUACUUGAUGAGAAUCACUUGAGCUUAAUGCUGACAAGCUAUUGCUGAACACUGUAAGUUGCAUUUCAACUCCACUCAACACUGGGCCCCUGUUUUACAAUUCUGUCGAGGACAUUGUUUCUAAGAGCAUGUCGUCGUAUCUAAACAACUUCCUCAAGACAUGCUGACGUGGUGAUUUGUCGAAUUCUAUACACAGUAUUUAAACAGGAUUUGUCCCAGUAUCAUUCGACUAAUCACCUCACAAACACAUCUUCUUUAUACCCGAGAACUGCACUCCUAAUAGCAUUAAAAUGUUGACAUCACAUACUUUUCCUGCUAGAAAGACAAAAUAUUAUUCUCAAAGAGAAUAGCUUUAACUUUUGUACAAACACACUACCUCCACAUGGGCAAAAAUUGUUAGGUAAACUUUGAAGUCUGUCAACAGUGAAGCUCAAUCCACCAAAUUCAUUGGACACCAAAACAUUACUUGUGCACCAGUUAACACAUGUACUGUUCAGAAUUAAUCCUCAGAUAGGAAUGAUUAGUACAUUUACAGACCUUGAUGAGGUGAACAGGAGGAGAGAGAGAGCACAUUUUUACAGUUCUUCCCUAGAACAGCAUUCGAGACAGACUUAGGGAACCUCUCUGAACAUGUUCUGUCUGUACCAGCCAGAAAUUUAUUUAUUUACUUGAUUGGUGUUUUUACACUGUACUCAAGAAUAUUUUACUUAUACGACUGCGUCCAGCAUUAUGGUGAAAGGAAACCCACGACCAUCCACAGGUUGCUGGCUGGGAGCCAGCAUGACCUGGACUUACAGCGACCUCACUGGUGGGAGGCUCCUGGGUCACUGCGCCCUUGCAGGUGUGCUAACCCCUCUGGCCACAGAGAUCCCCACCAACUAGAGAGGCUGCACAGAGGUUACACAGUUGUCAAACUAUUGGUCAUCACAGGGCUUCCCGUUUGCUACAUAUAAAGUGAGGCUGUGUUUUCCUUCGUUUCAUGCCUGUAAAGGCACAGCCGUGAACUGUGAAUCAAGCUCCUGUUCUCAGUCUCAUGUAAAACCACCCAUUUGUCAAAAUCCAAAACAUAUUAUUCAUUCUACUGGACUACACUUGUUCAUUUGUGGAAGGUACUAGCCACCACAGGUUUAGCCAAGGAGUGUCUCAGUGUCUUGAGAUGCCCUAUUCUGACAAAAUUAACAUGAAGAAGGGAAAAUUGGAAAUGAGAUGGCCUGAUUUCAAAUUCUGGCUAAAACCCAUUUCACUCCUGGCCUACAUAAAUACAAUACUUAGUAAGAUCUAACUUUUGCUGGUUCAACCUACAUGUAUGUGUUGAGAUGUUAUAAAUCUCUGUCAUUUUACACAGGUUAAUGGUGUCAGAGUAUAUUAAAACCACCCAUUUGCUAUGCUCCCCUCCCACAUACAGAAAGAAAAUAAAAAAAAAACAAAAA